rnacentral:rRNA from 1 species
GAACCUGAAACCGUGUACGUACAAGCAGUGGGAGCACAGAGCAAUCUGUGUGACUGCGUACCUUUUGUAUAAUGGGUCAGCGACUUAUAUUCUGUAGCAAGGUUAACCGAAUAGGGGAGCCGAAGGGAAACCGAGUCUUAACUGGGCGUUAAGUUGCAGGGUAUAGACCCGAAACCCGGUGAUCUAGCCAUGGGCAGGUUGAAGGUUGGGUAACACUAACUGGAGGACCGAACCGACUAAUGUUGAAAAAUUAGCGGAUGACUUGUGGCUGGGGGUGAAAGGCCAAUCAAACCGGGAGAUAGCUGGUUCUCCCCGAAAGCUAUUUAGGUAGCGCCUCGUGAAUUCAUCUCCGGGGGUAGAGCACUGUUUCGGCAAGGGGGUCAUCCCGACUUACCAACCCGAUGCAAACUGCGAAUACCGGAGAAUGUUAUCACGGGAGACACACGGCGGGUGCUAACGUCCGUCGUGAAGAGGGAAACAACCCAGACCGCCAGCUAAGGUCCCAAAGUCAUGGUUAAGUGGGAAACGAUGUGGGAAGGCCCAGACAGCCAGGAUGUUGGCUUAGAAGCAGCCAUCAUUUAAAGAAAGCGUAAUAGCUCACUGGUCGAGUCGGCCUGCGCGGAAGAUGUAACGGGGCUAAACCAUGCACCGAAGCUGCGGCAGCGACGCUGAUGCGUUGUUGGGUA